GAUGAACGCUGGCGGCGUGCCUAAUACAUGCAAGUCGAGCGAACAGACGAGGAGCUUGCUCCUCUGACGUUAGCGGCGGACGGGUGAGUAACACGUGGAUACCCUACCUAUAAGACUGGGAUAACUUCGGGAAACCGGAGCUAAUGCCGGAUAAUAUAUUGAACCGCAUGGUUCAAUAGUGAAAGACGGUUUUGCUGUCACUUAUAGAUGGAUCCGCGCCGCAUUAGCUAGUUGGUAAGGUAACGGCUUACCAAGGCAACGAUGCGUAGCCGACCGGAGAGGGUGAUCGGCCACACUGGAACUGAGACACGGUCCAGAGUACUACGGGAGGCAGCAGUAGGGAAUCUUACGCAAUGGGCGAAAGCUUGACGGAGCAACGCCGCGUGAGUGAUGAAGGUCUUCGGAUCGUAAAACUCUGUUAUUAGGGAAGAACAAAUGUGUAAGUAAAUAUGCACGUCUUGACGGUACCUAAUAAGAAAGCAACGGCUAACUACGUG
rnacentral:rRNA from 1 species